rfam:Prunus persica cultivar Lovell chromosome G2, whole genome shotgun sequence.
UUGUUUGCGGGUGCAGCAUCACCAAGAUUCACAACUGAUCAAGGGCACAGUGACAUCAUGAUGUUAUGAUUUUAUUAUGACUAUGUGUCUCCUAAGUUUGAGAAUCUUGAUGAUGCUGCAUCAGCAAUAGA